CCUACGGGGGGCAGCAGUGGGGAAUAUUGGACAAUGGGGGCAACCCUGAUCCAGCCAUGCCGCGUGUGUGAAGAAGGCCCUCGGGUUGUAAAGCACUUUCAGUGAGGAAGAACGCCUGGUGGUUAAUACCCAUCAGGAAAGACAUCACUCACAGAAGAAGCACCGGCUAACUCCGUGCCUGCAGCCGCGGUAAUACGGAGGGUGCGAGCGUUAAUCGGAAUUACUGGGCGUAAAGCGCGCGUAGGUGGCUUGAUAAGCCGGUUGUGAAAGCCCCGGGCUCAACCUGGGAACGGCAUCCGGAACUGUCAAGCUAGAGUGCAGGAGAGGAAGGUAGAAUUCCCGGUGUAGCGGUGAAAUGCGUAGAGAUCGGGAGGAAUACCAGUGGCGAAGGCGGCCUUCUGGACUGACACUGACACUGAGGUGCGAAAGCGUGGGUAGCAAACAGGAUUAGAUACCCGUGUAGUC
rnacentral:rRNA from 1 species